rnacentral:sRNA from 1 species
CGGACAUUUGGUUCAUGCACUCGGCCG